CACACUACAAACCAAACACAACACAUAACCGCAAUAAAGUAUAAUACAACAUUGUAUUGCGUAAUAAUCAGUAUAUAUACAUUUUUGGUUUUCUAUUGUUGAAUUUCUCAUUUCUUUUUUUUGUGUGAAAACGUAAUCUAAUUUUUGUAAAAAGAAGAAGUUAUUUUAAUAUCAUAGAAUUGAUAAUAUACAGUUUAAAUAAAAAAUAUUGUUGCACUAACUGUGACUUCUUUAAGCUACUAAUUGGCUGACAGAAGAACUUAUUGUAGUUUGUUGCUACUAAUUAGCAAAAUUAAGCUAGUCAAUUGUGAUAUUUAAAUUUGAGUUACCAAAUUGUAGUCUUAAGUUCAUUUGUUAUUAUUGUGAUUCGUGUUUUAGUUUUAGGUAGCAUCUCUGGCCAGCAGCUCUGCGAAUUUGCGAAGUCAUGUCGAGUCCAGAUGUGUCGUACUUCCGCAGUUGGGUGGCGUACAUCUUCAACAUCAUCAUAUUGAUGAUGAGAAGAAAACUCUUCGUAGAAUUGACUCGGGUAAGAUAUCCAACCAUGCCGACAAGUUGGACUGUAUGGAGAUGAUCGACUCAUCAGUAAUUCACAUAAUAACUGAGAAUGUAAAUACUUUCUGGGAUUAGAACAUACAUAAAGUGAUAGAAGUACAACAGAGGAAAAAGUUCCACAAGAAAACCGUGAUAUUGGUCCGAUUCCAACAGAUGUAUUCCACGAAACAGCAUCUUUUUCUAAUUUUGCAAUGACAUCCAUAUGGUCUAAUCUUACACCAUUUCGUAUUAUAGUACUUUGCGUGAUCAAAUCAAGAAAAAGAGUAUUUAAGAGCAUUAGAACAUCGGUGGAGUUCAAUGGAAUCCGCGGACUCAACCCUUCAAAAUCAUUUUACAUCCGUCAAAUCCUCAUGUAUUUAUUAUUUAUAUAAAAUUGUAAUUUUGUUAUAUUUUAAAUUAGUUGUAUAGACAAUCUGUCAAAACUUUAAUUUAUUUGUUUGAUUCAUUUAUUUUAUAGUGAUAAGUACUAAUUUAAACCUUUUACCGGUAUCGCAUGCUAUAUUUGGGUGGUAACAGUGUUUACCAUGAAUAAAAAAAAUCGUCUUCAAGAGCCGAAUAUAGAGCAGAGUAAAAUCAUUAAUAUAUUAUCAGAUCAUUUUGUAAAAUCAUUUGAA